rnacentral:rRNA from 1 species
CAGCCGCCGCGGUAAUACCGGCGGCCCGAGUGGCGGUCACUAUUAUUGGGCUUAAAGCGUCCGGAGCCGGGUUGGGAAGUCCUCCGGGAAAUCUGGCCGCUUAACGGUCAGAAUGCCGGAGGAUACUCCCAGCCUAGGGGGCGGGAGAGGCCGAGGGGAUUCCCGGGGUAGGGGGGAAAUCCUAUAAUCCCGGGAGGACCACCUGUGGCGAAGGCGCUCGGCUGGAACGCGUCCGACGGGGAGGGACGAAGGCCAGGGGAGCAAACCGGAUUAGAUACCCGGGUAGUCCUGGCGGUAAACGAUGCGGACUUUGUGUCAGACAAGCUAUGAGCUUGUCCGGUGCCGGAGGGAAACCGUUAAGUCCGCCGCCUGGGGAGUACGGCCGCAAGGCUGAAACUUAAAGGAAUUGGCGGG